AUUGAACGCUGGCGGCAGGCCUAACACAUGCAAGUCGAGCGAGCGGCGGACGGGUGAGUAAUGUCUGGGAAACUGCCUGAUGGAGGGGGGUAACUACUGGAAACGGUAGCUAAUACCGCAUACCAUCAGAUGUGCCCAGAGGGGAUUAGCUAGUAGGUGGGGUAAUGGCGCACCUAGGCGACGAUCCCUAGCUGGUCUGAGGGGAUGACCAGGCACACUGGGAAUGAGACACGGUCCCGACUCCUACGGGAGGGAGCAGUGGGGAAUAUUGCAGCAUGGGCGCAAGCCUGAUGCAGCCAUGCCGCGUGUGGUAAGAAGGCUUUCGGGUUGUAAAGCACUUUCAGCGGAGAGGCGGUACCCGAAGAAGAAGCACCGGCUAACUCCGUGCCAGCCGCCGCGGUAAUUC
rnacentral:rRNA from 1 species